GUGGUGAGCAGGAUUGUCCCUGAGGCCUGUGGGGUUAAGCUGGCGUAUUUGGGGAGCUCUGGAAAUACAUAAUAGCUCCUGCAGUAAAUCUUCUAGUGGCCAAGUUUUUACCUUCCCAUGAAUACAUAUAUUUUUACCCCAGGCAGGGAGAGUUGCCAGAGCUCCGAUGUGUCUCUCCCAGACUGUAAAGCGUGAAGACAGCUGCCUGGUGUGGAUGGAGUGACAGACGAUGUGUUCAGGUCUCUCCUGUGACAUCCAGAGCCCCUCAGUUCACUCUCAGCAAUAGUGUCUGAUGUUCCCUGUGAUCCCGUGGGCUCAAUGUGAAGAACUGGGAGCCCAGCCCACCCCUGCACACCUGACCCUGUCCCUGCACUGCCCUGUUCCCUUCCACAGCCAACCUUCCUGUUCCUGCAGACAGGAGGGGACAUCUCCAUCCUGUCUCCUCCAUGCUGCCCUGAGCUGCAGCCCUGACUUCCCCUCUGAAAAUAAGAAUCUGAACGUGAACUUGAUUGUUCAUGUCCUUGAUCUCAAAGGUUGAUUGGUGGUAAAAUAAAGGAUUGAGAUAGAAUUUAUGGAGGAAAUAAAUGGCAGCGUGGAGAACCUCCCAGAA